rnacentral:rRNA from 1 species
GAUGAACGCUAGCUACAGGCUUAACACAUGCAAGUCGAGGGACCGGCGCACGGGUGAGUAACACGUAUCCAACCUGCCCUUUACUCGGGGAUAGCCUUUCGAAAGAAAGAUUAAUACCCGAUAUAAAGGAUGGGGAUGCGUUCCAUUAGGUUGUUGGUGAGGUAACGGCCCACCAAGCCUUCGAUGGAUAGGGGUUCUGGGAGGAAGGUCCCCGAGAUUGGAACUGAGACACGGUCCACAAUCCGACGGAACGGUGCAGUGAGUAAUAUUGGUCAAUGGACGGUAGCCUAAACCAGCCAAGUAGCGUAAAGAAUGAAGGCUUAUGGGUCGUAAACUUCUUUUAUAUAAGAAUAUGUAUUAGAUGAAUAAGGAUCGGCUAACUCCGUGCCAGCAGCCGCGGUAAUUC